UACGGGGGGGGCAAGCGUUGUUCGGAAUUACUGGGCGUAAAGGGCUCGUAGGCGGCCAACUAAGUCAGACGUGAAAUCCCUCGGCUUAACCGGGGAACUGCGUCUGAUACUGGAUGGCUUGAGUCUGGGAGAGGGAUGCGGAAUUCCAGGUGUAGCGGUGAAAUGCGUAGAUAUCUGGAGGAACACCGGUGGCGAAGGCGGCAUCCUGGACCAACACUGACGCUGAGUGAGCGAAAGCCAGGGGAGCAAACGGG
rnacentral:rRNA from 1 species